GUCCACGCGGUAAACGAUGGGCACUAGGUGUGGGGGUAUCCACUCCUCCCGUGCCGAAGCUAACGCAUUAAGUGCCCCGCCUGGGGAGUACGGCCGCAAGGUUAAAACUCAAAGGAAUUGACGGGGGCCCGCACAAGCGGUGGAGCAUGUGGUUUAAUUCGACGCAACGCGAAGAACCUUACCUGGGCUUGACAUCCCUGGAACUCCCUGGAAACAGGGAGGUGCCCUCGAAAGAGGGAGCCAGGAGACAGGUGCUGCAUGGCUGUCGU
rnacentral:rRNA from 1 species